AACGAACGCUGGCGGCAUGCCUAACACAUGCAAGUCGAACGAGACCUUCGGGUCUAGUGGCGCACGGGUGCGUAACGCGUGGGAAUCUGCCCUUGGGUUCGGAAUAACAGCGAGAAAUUGCUGCUAAUACCGGAUGAUGACGUAAGUCCAAAGAUUUAUCGCCCAAGGAUGAGCCCGCGUAGGAUUAGCUAGUUGGUGAGGUAAAGGCUCACCAAGGCGACGAUCCUUAGCUGGUCUGAGAGGAUGAUCAGCCACACUGGGACUGAGACACGGCCCAGACUCCUACGGGAGGCAGCAGUGGGGAAUAUUGGACAAUGGGGCGAAAGCCUGAUCCAGCAAUGCCGCGUGAGUGAUGAAGGCCUUAGGAUUGUAAAGCUCUUUUCACCGAUGAAGAUAAUGACGGGUAGUCGGAGAAGAAGCCCCGGGACCUAACUUCGUGCCAGCAGCCGCGGUAAU
rnacentral:rRNA from 1 species